AGCUUCCUACGGGAGGCAGCAGUGGGGAAUAUUGCACAAUGGGGGAAACCCUGAUGCAGCGACGCCGCGUGAGUGAAGAAGUAUUUCGGUAUGUAAAGCUCUAUCAGCAGGGAAGAUAAUGACGGUACCUGACUAAGAAGCCCCGGCUAACUACGUGCCAGCAGCCGCGGUAAUACGUAGGGGGCAAGCGUUAUCCGGAUUUACUGGGUGUAAAGGGUGCGCAGGUGGCAGGGCAAGGCAGAUGUGAACGCCCGGGGCUCAACCCCGGCAUUGCCUUUG
rnacentral:rRNA from 1 species